UACAUUAGGAAAGCACCCAACAGUGUUGCGG
rnacentral:piRNA from 1 species